UGUGGGAGCGGGCUUGCUCGCGAAACGGUGUGUCAGCUAGCAAAGAUGUUGGCUGACACACCGCCUUCGCGAGCAAGCCCGCUCCCACA
rnacentral:misc_RNA from 1 species